CCUACGGGAGGCAGCAGUGGGGAAUAUUGCGCAAUGGGCGAAAGCCUGACGCAGCCACGCCGCGUGAGUGAUGAAGGCCUUCGGGUUGUAAAGCUCUGUCGGGAGGGACGAAAGGAGUAAUCCUUGACGGUACCUCGCAAGAAAGCACCGGCUAACUCUGUGCCAGCAGCCGCGGUAAUACAGAGGGUGCAAGCGUUGCUCGGAUUUACUGGGCGUAAAGCGUACGCAGACGGUGAGAAAGGUCGAAUGUGAAAGCCCCGGGCUCAACCCGGGAACUGCAUCCGAAACCAUCUCGCUAGAGUAUGAGAGAGGGAAGCAGAAUUCCUGGUGUAGAGGUGAAAUUCGUAGAUAUCAGGAGGAAUACCUGCGGCGAAGGCGGCUUCCUGGCUCAUUACUGACGUUCAGGUACGAAAGCGUGGGUAGCAAACAGGAUUAGAUACCCUGGUAGUCCACGCUGUAAACGAUGUGUGCUGGAUGUCGGGGGUAUUCACCCCCUCGGUAUCGAAGCUAACGCGAUAAGCACACCGCCUGGGGAGUACGGCCGCAAGGUUGAAACUCAAAGGAAUUGACGGGGGCCCGCACAAGCGGUGGAGUAUGUGGUUUAAUUCGACGCAACGCGAAGAACCUUACCCAGCCUUGACAUCCCUGGAACCCGGUGGAAACACUGGGGUGUCCUCGCAAGAGGAAGCCAGGUGACAGGAGCUGCAUGGCUGUCGUCAGCUCGUGUCGUGAGAUGUUCGGUUAAGUCCGGCAACGAGCGCAACCCUUGCUUCCAGUUGCCAUCAUUAAGUUGGGAACUCUGGAGGGACUGCCGGCGCUAAGCCGGAGGAAGGUGGGGACGACGUCAAGUCAUCAUGGCCUUUAUGGCUGGGGCUACACACGUACUACAAUGACGACUACAGAGGGCUGCGAAGCGGCGACGUGAAGCAAAUCCCAAAAAAGUCGCCUCAGUUCGGAUCGAAGUCUGAAACUCGACUCCAUGAAGUUGGAAUCGCUAGUAAUCGCGGAUCAGAACGCCGCGG
rnacentral:rRNA from 1 species